GAUCCUGGCUCAGAGCGAACGUUAGCGGCAGGCUUAACACAUGCAAGUCGAGCGAGAAAGGGGCUUCGGCUCCGAGUAAAGCGGCGGACGGGUGCGUAACACGUGGAUAAUCUGCCUCGUGCGGGGGACAACAGUCCGAAAGGACUGCUAAUACCGCAUGUCAGGUCGGAAACUCCGGUUUCUGACGAAAAAGAGGGCGUCCGCAAGGAGCUCUCACCACGAGAUGAGUCCGCGUCCCAUCAGCUAGUUGGCGGUGUAAUGGACCACCAAGGCUUAGACGGGUAGCUGGUCUGAGAGGAUGACCAGCCACACUGGGACUGAGACACGGCCCAGACUCCUACGGGAGGCAGCAGUGGGGAAUAUUGGACAAUGGGCGAAAGCCUGAUCCAGCCAUGCCGCGUGAGUGAUGAAGGCCUUCGGGUCGUAAAGCUCUGUGGGGAGGGAC
rnacentral:rRNA from 1 species